GACGAACGCUGGCGGCGUGCUUAACACAUGCAAGUCGAACGAAGAGCGAUGGAAGCUUGCUUCUAUCAAUCUUAGUGGCGAACGGGUGAGUAACGCGUAAUCAACCUGCCCUUCAGAGGGGGACAACAGUUGGAAGCGACUGCUAAUACCGCAUACGAUCUAACCUCGGCAUCGAGGAAAGAUGAAAGGUGGCCUCUAUGUAUAAGCUAUCACUGAAGGAGGGGAUUGCGUCUGAUUAGCUAGUUGGAGGGGUAACGGCCCACCAAGGCGAUGAUCAGUAGCCGGUCUGAGAGGAUGAACGGCCACAUUGGGACUGAGACACGGCCCAGACUCCUACGGGAGGCAGCAGUGGGGAAUCUUCCGCAAUGGACGAAAGUCUGACGGAGCAACGCCGCGUGAGUGAUGACGGCCUUCGGGUUGUAAAGCUCUGUUAAUCGGGACGAAAGGCCUUCUUGCGAAUAGUGAGAAGGAUUGACGGUACCGGAAGAGAAAGCCACGGCUAACUACGUG
rnacentral:rRNA from 1 species